GAGGGUUAAAUAAAAGGGUGGGGAGGGUCCGGGGCCGCUGGAAAUGGCAGGGAGGGGAGUGGGGACAGACCCCAGCCCUGCUGUGGUCACGGCCGGCAUCAUCGGCAUCCCCGGGGCUUUGUGGUCCCCACAGCGACGGUGCGGGUCGGGUGCCGGCAUGGGGAGGGGGCGGCGGGGGUAGGGGGGGGGACACGCUGGGAGUGCUGCGGCGGCGGUGUCGCCUUCCUCCUCUUCCUCCCCUUCCUCCUCUUCCUCCUCGUCCUCCCCUUCCUCUCCAUCCUCCCCUUCUUCCCCUUUACUCCUCUUCCUCCCCAUCCUCCCCUUCCUCCCUUUACUCCCCUUCCUCCCUUUACUCCCCUUCCUCCCUUUACUCCCCUUCGUCCCCAUCCUCCCCUUCGUCCCCAUCUUCCCCUUCCACGUCUUCCUCUCCGUCCUCCCCUUCUUCCCCUUUACUCCUCAUCCUCCCCUUCCUCCCUUUACUCCUCUUCCUCCCCUUCCUCCCCAUCCUCCCUUUCCUCCCUUUACUCCUCGCCCUCCCCUUCUUCCCUUUCAUCCCCUUUACUCCCCUUCUUCUCCUUUACUCCCCAUCCUCCCCAUCCACCCCUUCCUCCUCUUUCUCCCCAUCCUCCCCUUCUUCCUCAUCCUCCCCUUCCUCCUCAUCCUCCCCUUCCUCCUGGUCCUCCCUUUACUCCUCUUCCUCCCCAUCCUCCCCUUCCUCCCUUUACUUCUCAUCCUGCCCUUCCUUCUCUUCCUCCCCUUCCUCCCUUUCCUCCCCUUCCUCCCCCCCUCCUCAUCCUCCCCACGCUGUUCGCUCACAGACAACGCUGCUGAAGCGAGUGCUUGUUGCUGUUGGGGGGCACAAACCCCACCGAGCACCUUCCUCCCGUGGUCCCCCCCCCACUCCAUCUUCACACGUGUCACAUUUGGGGGAAUCACCCCUCUGCAUCUCAUCACAUCCCUUUCCCAAAUUCGGGGUUGUUCUCUCUAUUUUUUUUUUGGGGUGGGGGUCCCGCAGCAGGAAUACGGGGGGUUUGCAGGGGCUGGGGUGUGUGUGUGUGUGUGUUUUUGGGGGGGUCCGUGAAGUUUCACCUGCUGUCGGCACAGCGCAGCCGGUGCCGCUUCUAUGCCGGAGCCUCCGGAGGAGUGAGGGAUUCCUCGAAAUGCUCACGGGGCGCUGGCACCCCAAAUCAGCUGCCAGGACACCCAGGGCGAUGCCAGGGUGGCUGCCCUCUGCUACCUUGCACUUUGAGUAUUUAUUUAUUUAUUUAUUUAAGUAGUUCAUCCCCUUUUUGGACACUUUCCCGGGUUGGUGGAGCGAGGCUCCCCCCCCUCUCCUCUCCACCUCCCUCUUCUCCAUCUGCCCGGGCACUGGGACUUACGGGGCCCUUGCAAUUAUUUACUAAUUAUGCCUUGCUUGUUAAACGCCGGGCUUAAUUCGGCGAAAGGGGAGGGGAG
rnacentral:lncRNA from 1 species